ACUAGUGCCUUUGAACCAAGUUUGUAAGUCUAAGAUUACCUGUCUUGUGAUUUUGCUAUUCCUCCUCACACUCGUCCUGUCUGGCUUUCCCUGCAGAGAACCUCAGCGCUACUCCACAUUAUUGCCUGCCCGCCUGCCCGCCUGCCUUGCCGAACCCCGGACGGCCCAUCUACAGCUGGACCCCGCACCUGCCUAUCACCUCUACAACGCCUCAAAAUAAACCUUUCUCACCUUGCCAGCUCUGUCUCUGGUCUCUGCCUCUGGGUUCUCACAAACUCAAACAUCACACCAAAGCUUGUUUAUCCGGGCCAGACACCAUUGAAUGAAAAAAAGGUUUAUUGAGAAGAACCCAGAGCAGACCCAGAACCUCGCUGGAUGGAUCAUAUAUGUCAUCUGGCCUGAGAACGCCUAAGGAGGAGCUGGAGAGCAUUGCUGGGAAGAAUGCCAUGUGGAAUACACUGCUAAGCCUGCUGCUAUUGCGACCCUGGAUAAGCAGAAGACAGCGGAUGGAUGGAUGGCAGCAGUCUUACUUCACUGAUGCUCAGUAGACACUGUGGUGCCUUCCUGUCAUGGGCUGUACACAAGCCUUGUAAUGUUUCCAGUCAGGAUGCUUUGUAUUGGUCCACUGUGGAACUUGAACUUGCCAGUGGAAUUUUACCUCCUUAGUAAAGUUUAUUCAGCACUUC